rnacentral:rRNA from 1 species
UACGAAGGGGGCUAGCGUUGCUCGGAAUUACUGGGCGUAAAGGGAGCGUAGGCGGAUAGUUUAGUCAGAGGUGAAAGCCCAGGGCUCAACCUUGGAACCGCGCUUGAGACUGGCAUGCUCGAGUUCGGGAGAGGAUGGUGGAAUUCCCAGUGUAGAGGUGAAAUUCGUAGAUAUUGGGAAGAACACCGAUGGCGAAGGCAGCCAUCUGGACCGACACUGACGCUGAGGCGCGAAAGCGUGGGGAGCAAACAGG